rnacentral:rRNA from 1 species
UACAGAGGGUGCAAACGUUGUUCGGAAUUACUGGGCGUAAAGCGCGUGUAGGCGGCUUGGCAGGUCGGAUGUGAAAUCCCAGGACUCAACCCUGGAAGGGCAUUCGAAACCGCUUCGCUAGAGUUCUGGAGAGGAAGGUGGAAUGCUUGGUGUAGAGGUGAAAUUCGUAGAUAUCAAGCGGAACACCGGUGGCGAAGGCGGCCUUCUGGACAGAAACUCACGCUGAGACGCGAAAGCGUGGGGAGCAAACAGG